AACGUGCCCUUAAGUGGGGGAUAAUCUCGGGAAAUUGAGGAUAAUACCCCAUAGGUCAUGGGAUCUGGAAUGACCCAUGGCUGAAAGUUCCGGCGCUUAAGGAUCGCUCUGCGGCCUAUCAGGUAGUAGUGGGUGUAACGUACCCCCUAGCCUACGACGGGUUAUGGGCCUUGAGAGAGGGAGCCCAGAGUUGGAUUCUGAGACACGAAUCCAGGCCCUACGGGGCGCAGCAGGCGCGAAAACUUCACACUGGGGGGAACCCCGAUGAGGGAAUUCCUAGUGCUUGGGCAUUUGUCCAAGCUUUUCCCGAGCGUAGAUAACUCGGGGAAUAAGGGCUGGGUAAGACGGGUGCCAGCCGCCGCGGUAAUACCUGCAGCCCGAGUGGUGGUCGAUUUUAUUGAGUCUAAAGCGUUCGUAGCCGGUCCGUUAAAUCCUUGGGUAAAUCGGGAAGCUCAACUUUCCGACUUCCGAGGAGACUGGCGGACUUGGGACCGGGAGAGGCCAGAGGUACUUCUGGGGUAGGGGUAAAUCCUGUAUCCUAGAGGACCACCGGGUGGCCGAAGGCGUCUGGCU
rnacentral:rRNA from 1 species